GACGAACGCUGGCGGCGUGCUUAACACAUGCAAGUCGAACGGAAAGGCCUGCUUUCCCUUGUGGAUUGCGGGUACUCGAGUGGCGAACGGGUGAGUAACACGUGAGUGAUCUGCCCCCAACUUGGGUAUAAGCCUGGGAAACUGGGUCUAAUUCCCGAUAGGACUGCAGGGUGGUGCCUGUGGUGGAAAACGAUUUUCUAGUGGUUGGGGAUGAGCUCGCGGCCUAUCAGCUUGUUGGUGGGGUAAUGGCCUACCAAGGCGGCGACGGGUAGCCGGCCUGAGAGGGUGGACGGCCACAUUGGGACUGAGAUACGGCCCAGACUCGUACGGGAGGCAGCAGUGGGGAAUAUUGGACAAUGGGCGGAAGCCUGAUGCAGCGAGGCCGCGUGGGGGAUGACGGCCUUCGGGUUGUAAACUCCUUUCGACCGCGAGGAAGCCACCUGGUUGGAAGGGUGGUGACGGUAGUGGUAGAAGAAGCACCGGCUAACUACGUG
rnacentral:rRNA from 1 species